rnacentral:tRNA from 1 species
GCCUGGCUGGCUCAGUUGAUAGAGCAUGUGACUUUUGAUCUUGAAAUUGUGAGUUAAAGCCCCACCUUGAGCA